rnacentral:rRNA from 1 species
CCUACGGGCGGCAGCAGUGGGGAAUAUUGGACAAUGGGCGAAAGCCUGAUCCAGCCAUGCCGCGUGUGUGAAGAAGGCCUUCGGGUUGUAAAGCACUUUCAGUGGGGAAGAAAGCCUUGGGGCUAAUACCCUCGAGGAAGGACAUCACCCACAGAAGAAGCACCGGCUAACUCCGUGCCAGCAGCCGCGGUAAUACGGUGGGUGCGAGCGUUAAUCGGAAUUACUGGGCGUAAAGCGCGCGUAGGCGGUCUGAUAAGCCGGUUGUGAAAGCCCCGGGCUCAACCUGGGAACGGCAUCCGGAACUGUCAGGCUAGAGUGCAGGAGAGGAAGGUAGAAUUCCCGGUGUAGCGGUGAAAUGCGUAGAGAUCGGGAGGAAUACCAGUGGCGAAGGCGGCCUUCUGGACUGACACUGACGCUGAGGUGCGAAAGCGUGGGUAGCAAACAGGAUUAGAUACCCGAGUAGUC